GGUGAACGCUAGCGGUGCGCCUAACACAUGCAAGUCGAGCGGGAGUUGCACAGAGGAGACUUCGGUUGAAUCGGUGUAAUGAUAGCGGCGAACGGGUGAGUAACACGUUGGAACCUGCCCCCAAGUCAGGGAUAGCCAAGGGAAACCUUGGAUAAUACCGGAUAGUCUCUUAGGAGUAAAAAUUUAUUGCUUGGGGAGGGGCCUGCGGACUAUCAGCUAGUUGGUAAGGUAAGAGCUUACCAAGGCUAUGACGGAUAACUGGUCUGAGAGGAUGAUCAGUCACAAUGGAACUGAGACACGGUCCAUACUCCUACGGGAGGCAGCAGUGAGGAAUCUUCCACAAUGGACAAAAGUCUGAUGGAGCGACACCGCGUGAAGGAAGAAGGCCUAACGGUUGUAAACUUCUUUUCUGAAGGAGCUAAUGAGAGUACUUUAGGAAUAAGGGACGGCUAAAUACGUGCCAGCAGCCGCGGUAAUACGUAUGUCUCGAGCGUUACCCGGAAUAACUGGGUGUAAAGGGUUUGUAGGUUGAUGGUUAAGUCAGAUAUGAAAGACCGAAGCUUAACUUCGAGUUAGUAUUUGAAACUGGCUAUCUAGAAUCAGGGAGAGGUAAGCGGAAUUCUAAGUGUAGGGGUGCAAUCCGUAGAUACUUAGAGGAACACCAAAAGCGAAGGCAGUUUACUGGAACUGAAUUGACACUGAAAAACGAAAGCGUGGGGAGCGAAAAGGAUUAGAUACCCUUGUAGUCCACGCCCUAAACGAUGACAACUAAGUGUUGCGACUAGCUCGCAGUGCUGUAGCAAACGCGUCAAGUUGUCCACCUGAGGAGUACGGUCGCAAGAUUAAAACUCAAAGGAAUAGACGGGGACCCACACAAGCAGUGGAUCACGUGGUGUAAUUCGAUAAUAACGGGGAACCUACCCGACUGACAUCUAGAUCACAGAGAUGACGGCCCAGAACUAGACAGUGCUGCAUGUGUCGUAGCUCGUGCUGAGUUCGUAGUCGUACACCACAUUCUAUAC
rnacentral:rRNA from 1 species